AGCUCAAAUUUGAAAUCUGGCUCUUUCAGAGUCCGAGUUGUAAUUUGAAGAAGGUAUCUUUGGGUCUGGCUCUUGUCUAUGUUUCUUGGAACAGAACGUCACAGAGGGUGAGAAUCCCGUGCGAUGAGAUGAUCCAGGCCUAUGUAAAGUUCCUUCGAAGAGUCGAGUUGUUUGGGAAUGCAGCUCUAAGUGGGUGGUAAAUUCCAUCUAAAGCUAAAUAUUGGCGAGAGACCGAUAGCGAACAAGUACAGUGAUGGAAAGAUGAAAAGAACUUUGAAAAGAGAGUGAAAAAGUACGUGAAAUUGUUGAAAGGGAAGGGCUUGAGAUCAGACUUGGUAUUUUGUAUGUUACUUCUUCGGGGGUGGCCUCUACAGUUUAUCGGGCCAGCAUCAGUUUGGGCGGUAGGAGAAUUGCGUUGGAAUGUGGCACGGCUUCGGUUGUGUGUUAUAGCCUUCGUCGAUACUGCCAGCCUAGACUGAGGACUGCGGUUUAUACCUAGGAUGUUGGCAUAAUGAUCUUAAGUCGCCCGUCUUGAAACACGGACCAAGGAGUCUAACGUCUAUGCGAGUGUUUGGGUGUAAAACCCGUACGCGUAAUGAAAGUGAACGUAGGUGGGGGCCCGUAUGGGUGCACCAUCGACCGAUCCUGAUGUCUUCGGAUGGAUUUGAGUAAGAGCAUAGCUGUUGGGACCCGAAAGAUGGUGAACUAUGCCUGAAUAGGGUGAAGCCAGAGGAAACUCUGGUGGAGGCUCGUAGCGGUUCUGACGUGCAAAUCGAUCGUCGAAUUUGGGUAUAGGGGCG
rnacentral:rRNA from 1 species